rnacentral:rRNA from 1 species
AGCGAACGCUGGCGGCAGGCCUAACACAUGCAAGUCGAACGAAGUCUUCGGACUUAGUGGCGGACGGGUGAGUAACACGUGGGAACGUGCCUUUAGGUUCGGAAUAACUCAGGGAAACUUGUGCUAAUACCGAAUGUGCCCUUCGGGGGAAAGAUUUAUCGCCUUUAGAGCGGCCCGCGUCUGAUUAGCUAGUUGGUGAGGUAAAGGCUCACCAAGGCUACGAUCAGUAGCUGGUCUGAGAGGAUGACCAGCCACAUUGGGACUGAGACACGGCCCAAGCUCCUACGGGAGGCAGCAGUGGGGAAUUUUGCGCAAUGGGCGAAAGCCUGACGCAGCCAUGCCGCGUGGAUGAUGAAGGUCUUAGGAUUGUAAAAUCCUUUCACCGGUGAAGAUAAUGACUGUAGCCGGAGAAGAAGCCCCGGCUAACUUCGUGCCAGCCGCCGCCGUAA